UUGUUGUCUUUUCAACAAACAGAACUGACAUAUCAGUAAGAAAUAGAUAACCCACAGAAAAAUGGGCAGAUGACUGGAAUAGUGACUUCACACACAAAAGGAAAUCCAAAUGGCCAAUCAGUGCUCAGAUUCACUGGAAUUAAGGAAACGCAAAAUAAACUACAAUGAGAGACACCUCCUACACCCCCCUGGCUUGGCAAACAUUGAAGUCUGACAAUAACAAGUGUUGGCAUGGGUGCAAAGAACAACGGAUACUCAUGCAUUGCUGGUGGGAUUGUAAAGACACUAGUAUGGAAAAUAGUUUUGCGUUAAUUAGUAAAGCUGAAGAGAUGCACUCCCCCUGACAUCCCCCUAAAAUCUCUUCCAAUAACUUUAAAAAGUGGCUCCCAAAGUACGGUCCCUAUUCUCAGCUGGUAGCAUCAGCAUCACCUGGGAACUUCUUAGAAAUAUAAACUCUCAAAUGUAACCCCAGUUCCACUGAAUCAGACACCUGAGGGUGGAGCCUUGUCAUUUGUGAACCAUCUGGGUGAUGAUCAUGAGCUUUCAAGUAGAAGAAGCACCACCUGAGAGAAAUUUGUGAGCAUGGGUACAGGAUACAUGAUAAAAAUGUUCACAGUAGCAACCACGUAUCCAUCAACAGGAACACGGUCCCUUCUAUUUACACAAUGGAAUAUUACACUAAAAUACAUGCAUUAAAAAUGAAUGCAUUCCAUGGAUAAAACUUAUGGUCAGUCAUUAUAUUCAAGAAAAGAAGCAAAACACAAAUGAAAAAAAAAAAACCCUGAAGAGAAGAAAGGAAUUGAUUACCAUAAAAUCCAGGAAAAUGCUUAUCAGUAUUGGAGAAGGAAGGAAGUAUGAUCAAGAAGGAGCUUGCAGUGGAGCUGGAGUUUAUGAGCGGCUGACAAUAUUCCCUGUUUUGACCUGGGGAAAGAGAGUUGGGGACAGACUCGAAGAUGACUAUCAGCCAGAGUCAUUAUCCCUUCUUCUCCCUAAAUGUGUAGACGAGUUGAAAAGCAACCAGGCUUCUCAGUAAGCGAGGUUAAUAUCACCCACGUGAUCCAAGGUUCUGCUCCCACUUUUGACUUUGUUGUUUAUUUGCAAACUUCUUUAGUGAUUGCUGUUAGACUGGAUUCAUGCACAGUUAGAAGGGAAGAAAUAACACAUUAGUUCUUCCAAAUAUAAUAGUGAUGGUACAGACGCUGGUUGGAUCAUACUUGAAUUGUCUGAGUUUAAAGCAGAAGGUACUUCUCAAACAAUUUUAAAGUCAGGUCCUUAUUUUUCUUUUGUUUCAAUUAAGACAGGUGUACCUUGGCCACAGGUCUACGGUGAUUGAAUUGAUAGCUAUUUAUCCUACAUGGAUAAUAUCAUUCUUUUGUCAAUAGUAAUGAUCAUGUGAGUAUGAACACAUAAAAAAUAUAGCUAUAUAUUAUGAUACAACAUACCAAGCACAGUGUUUGUACAGAGUAGGUGCUCAGUGAACACUCAACUGAUAUAAGCAGAUCUGUCAUAUAAAUAUAUGUCUAAAAUACAAGUAUUAUUAUAAAUUGUUAUAUAAUUUAGCUAAUUUUUCUGGUGUGUGUAUUUACUUUAUUAUUAUGUGAAUAUUUGUAUAUGGCAUAAAAUUAGCCAUUUUUGGUGUGCAUUUCAGUGGCAUUAAUUAUAUUCACAAUGCAACCAUCUAGCCACCCGGUUUUCACCCUCAUUUUAAUGCCUUUGUUAGAAUCGACUUUGGUAUUUCAAAUUGCUUUCUUAAAACUUCCUCUAAUACAGCCGCUCCCUCUUCCUACACUUUAUCUUUUGCCAUCUUGUGCCAGGUCCUUGGUCUCUUUUACAGCCUGAAUCAUGUGUGUUAUCUCAUAUGUGGGGGACCAGAUUUCUGUGUCAAGAGGACUUUCUUUCCUUCUUCAGCUCAGCUUACAGUUGUCCAAUAGUAGAAGCUGUUACAUUAAACUAUGGAGAAUUAAAACAAAAAAAAUCCAUUCUUACUAGGAAAAAUGUAGACUCUUGGUUUCAGAAUCCUUUGGGACCCAUCAUGGGUUAUCUAAAGUACCAAAAAUUAUUAGCCUGAUGUCUUAGUGGAAGUACUCAGGAUAUUAAUUCACCAGUUGUAUAUAAUUCCCAAGUUAGUCUCUCGUGCCAAACAGUGACUAAUUAAGCUGUGGAUAAUGUCAUGCUGCAAGAGUGAUAAAACAAUAAUGAUGGUGAUAAUAACAAUAGCUAACACUGAGUGCUGUUAGGUGCCAAGCAUGGUUCUAAGGCUGUUAUGUGCAUUACUUUAGGUAGUCAUCAUAAUAAUCCUAUGGCAUAUAUGCAGUUGUUAGCCUAUUUUAUAGAUGAAGAAACCAAGACUCAGAGAGGCAAAUUAUAUGUACAAAGGUUAUAGGAUCUGAACCCAAGCAGAUGGAUCUCAGAGCCUUGCUCUUAGUCACCGUACUGUGACCCCUAUUUAAGAGUAGAACCCAAGAGAAUGCUUAAUUCUCAUGUCCCUUGUAGGAGGCUAGUUACUGCAGGUGAAAACAUACAAAAAUAGAUUAGGAACAAGAAUAACACACACAGACACACACAGACACACACACACACACACACACACACACACACACACUCCUUUAUUUCUUUGGGGGGUCAGUGAGAGGUGGAGCACAGAGCUGGGAGAAUUAGCCUGUUAGUAAUCAGCUAAUAAUAAGUGCUAAAAGAAAGGCAUUUGGAGAAAAAUAUCAUGGCAGUUUAGUUGGGAGGAGAUUAUUUUUAGCUACUACGCAGGAAGGAGUUGAGUAUACAAUGUAGAGCCAUCAAAGAUUUUUCGGCACAAAAGGAAUAUAAUGAAAGCUAUGCUUUUAGGAAAAUAAAACUGCCAUCAGUGACUAUUAUGGCCUGGAAGGAGAAAAGACUCAAGGUGGAAAGGCCAAUUUAGAGGUGUCUAUAGGAACCCACAGGACAGGUAGGGAGGGCUGGAAUGAGGGCAGUGACCAUAGACAUGGAGAGGUGGGGAAAGGCUCUACAGAGGAAGGCCAGAGCAAUGGAUAUGAAGGGUCAAGUUGACUACAAGAUUCCAAUCAGGAUGAGUGACAGAAUGGGGUCUCUUUAAGAGAAACAGAAAAGAUGGGAGAAGAGCACCUGGGAGGAAAGUGCAGGUACAGAAUUUGAAGCUCUGGUAAGAUGCAUAGGGACACUGUUGAGGAAUUUAACUUUGAGAGGGAAGUUGGAGUGGGGACCUAGAGUUACUGCAGAGCCUGGAGACUGAAAAUCAUGGAAAUGGAGGAGAAUGUCAAGGGAAAAUAUAGAGUCAAAUCAAGAGUGUUAAAGACAGAAUCUUCGGGAACAUUUACAUUUAGAGGCAAUAAGUAGUCAGAAAAGAUAAAGUUAGACAGAUAGGAAAAGUUGAGAGCAGCAAAGCCAAGGGAGGAGAACAUGUGGAGAGCGAGGGGGUAAGAGACAAGAUGAAAGGUCAUGGAAGGCACAACAAAAGAUGAGGCAUUGGGUUUGGCAAUAGAGACUUGCAAGGAAGCAGCUUCACUUGAGUGGUGGGGGAGAGGGGGGUUUAGGGGAUGAGUGUCUGGUGAGAAAGGGGAGGGUGCAGCAAGUGUAGACACACCUCCCAAGAGGUUUGUUGAUGAGGCAGACAUGAGUAUAGUUCAAAGGAGUAGAAGGAUCAGGGGAAAGUUUGGUUUAGGAAAAAAGAGCCAAGGUUCAGGGACUAAGUGGAAGAAUCCCAGUGGAGCAGAGAGAAAGAAAAUGUGUGAGAGGGGGCAGGGAGAGAGAGAGAGAGAGAGAGAGAGAGAGAUAACUGACACAACCAGAGUAGGCAGGCAGAAAGCAAGUGAGAGCCCAAAGAGAGGGAGGCAUUGGGCAGGAGAAGGGCCUUUCUUCGUCCAACACUUAAAGAAAGGAGGGGAAGAUGAAGAAAGCUGUUGAUGUGAGAUAUGAGAGGGAGAGCACUUUGGGAGCUCAUGGAGGAAGGCCAACCAGAAAAAAGUGAGAGCGUGGGCAGCAUAGAAGUACUUGAUCAAAGUGCAACAGGGUUGCAAUAAACACAGAGAGAAGUAUGGCAUGUAGUCAACAGAGGAAGGACAGUGAAAGAUACUGGGGAAUGAGGGCCACCUGAUGUUGGAUAACACGUAUGGUGGAGCAACUACAUCAGUUCUAUGACUUUUUAAAAACUGGAUUGUUUAGGCAGGGAGCAGAUAUGUAGGAGCAGCAGAUGGUGGAAUUCACUCUGGCUUGGGAGUUAGAAUAGGAGUCCAACCGAGGCACAAAGGGUCAAAGUCACUAAGGAGUAGACAGAAAGGCUAGAGGACUGAGAGAAAAACAUUGCCUGGUAUGGUGGCACUGGAGGAUCAGCUCCCCUUUGAAGAUAACAUGCUCUGGAAGCACAGCUGACUGACAGCCUCCAGUAGUCUCAGCACUUGUGGAUUCACUCAGUAUUCAUCCCAGGCCAGGCUGCUUCCAGGCUGCACCAGUAAGGACUAAAGCCAGAGAAGGGACUAAAUUUGGCCAUCUUUCCCCAUGUGGGACUCCUCUCAUAAUUAAGUGUGCUCAGGGACUCCGUUGGCUUGGUUGAGAUUUUUCUCUGACUUUUUUCUGGAGUCUGAAGCUCUUCCUACCCAAACCCUCCUGCCCUCUCUCCUUCUUAGUUAUUAGAACUGCCUGCCAAUUUGAAGACUCUCCCAACCUGAAUCCCUCUCACUUUUUGCCUCCCAAGCAUUUCCCCCAAUAAAUCUCUCACAUGUAUAAUUCUAUUUUUGCUUCUGCUGUUUUGGAAGUCCUGAAGGGACACACUUGGGCUUGCUAUUAUUAGUGGAGGACCUAGUGAUUGGAAGAUGUAGGCAAUGAGGUGAUUGCAAAGAUGUGAAGAUUUUGUUUACGCAAUUCCUUUUUGAAUUAUAGACUCACAGGAAGAUGCAAAAAUAGUACAGAGAUUUCCCCUAUACCCUUCACUCUGCUUUCUCCAGUGGUAACAUCUUAUAUAAUUAAAACCAAGAAAUUGAUAUUGAUAUAAUAUUGUUAACAAGUUCAUAUGAUUUGGGGUAAUCUGUUUCUCAUUAUGUUCCUGUCCACAUCAUAAAUAUAUUGAUCUCAUCUUCUUUGCAAAAGGCCACUUAAAUAACAGUUCCCUCCAAGUCAACCAGCUCUAUAACCGCAAGGUUUGUAAGAUGCAUAAAUAAAGCCAUUAGGUGGAGGGAAAAAUAGAAAAUGACAUAUGUCUAUUGAGGAGAGGGCUCCCCAUCCACCCAAACAUCCAUCCAUCCAUCCAUCCAUCCAUCCAUCCAUCCAUCCAUCCUUCCAUCCAUGUUUGCUAAGCUUUUCCUAAGUAUCAGGACCUAUAUUGUGCAUCUACUGCAUUAGAAUACUGAUAUCAAAAUGGUAGAAGCAGCUACCACACCUGUGCUUGAAUUAAGAUGCAGUGAGGAACCCAGAUAUAUAGUUGUUUUGUGGGCAAAGGAUAUCCAGAUUGGCCCUGUGAUCAUUUUUACCUAGGCAGUAAUUCAACUGGUAGCAACCGUAUGCUCAACAGCCAGGAUCAUGCCUUUUUAUGAGUCACUGUAAAGCACCAAGUGCAUUGACAUAUACUUCAUAAAUGCUAAAUAAUAACAAGUCAGUGAACCUAGAAGUAUUGGAUUCAGUAUUCGAGACAUUAAAUCCAAGUUAUUCUGUUCUAGAAGCAAGGCAAACAAAUAAAUCAGCCCCAAAUCAAAUAAAGCCCACAUCCAUCCCCGGCCAGCAGUGGGUGUUGUCUGGAAUGCACUUUAGGGGCGAGUGGCUCUCUCAUGAAGGGGCACUUGUUAAUACUUUACCUGACAUAUCAUAUACAGUGCCUUGCCUGUGAUUUGGGAGGAGAGUUUAAUAUCUGACCCACAGAAGACAAUAGCAACACUAUGUUCUUAAAGCUCCACUCCCCUUUAUUUGAUACCAGAAAAUACUAUCUGCUGAAGCUCUUGAGAAGAGCAACAGUCACCCACUGAGCAAUUAGACUGAUCCUGGUGGGAAGUCUCUGUAGGCAGUACUGGGAGACUCUGUAUGUAUUUCAAAGCCAGGAUUUAGUUUUCCUUUAAGAUAGAAGUCUCUUCAUGGCUGCCUGUGACUCCUUGAGGGUUUAGGCACACACUAUAGAAAGCAUGAAAUGCUAUGGAUGCUAUACUGGCAACCGAACUAGCCUACAGCACAGUUGAAUGCUUUUCUGAUUCACAGGCCAGAGCCUUGAGCAGCGUCUGGUUCUGUCUGAUUUGGGAUCUCUGGACACAGGCCCUUCUGUCUAGAAGUCUGCCAUCUUGGUUCCACAUGCAAACAUGAUUUACCUCCAUCCACAUCCCUUUAGUCAUUUCAUAGUGAUGACAUCCUUGGGAGCAAAGCCCAACCUUCCACAGCAAAAGAUUGACGGCAAAGCCAUUGUAAAAUGAAGAGGUAAUAACUAUGACAUCUCCAGGAGUGAUACACACCAAUGAGAUCACAUUUUGAAUGGAGUCUAGAGGAGAUUCUAUCCUUUAACAGUCAUUUCCAAAAGGAUUUUACUCUCAUUCAAUUGCAGCCAAGGGGAAGGGAGCCAAAGACACCUAGAUUUAGCCAACAAAGUGUUGAGGGGAGGAAUGAGCCAAAGGGGAAGGUACAGAGCCAAGAAACAAAAAGUAAAAAAAAAAACCCAUCAGAAGCCGACU